rnacentral:lncRNA from 1 species
UAUCCUUCAUCUUUAUGCUGCUCCACUCCAGCUCACAGCCCCUCCAACUGGAUGGAGCUCUUCGAAGGGAGGGGCAUUUCAGAGGAGGGUCUCAGGGAUAGCCCCUUUGUGGGGCUGGGCCACCAGGUUGGGGAGAGUGGAGCUGCUGGAACUCUGGAGGGACUGGCUGAGCCAGCUUUCCCAGUGCACCCCUCUGGGAGGGCAGGCUCUCGGUGUAGGCUGCCCAUCUCCUCGCUCUCCUCUGGCACUGCUCCUAUGCCCCCUUGGUUAGCCUGGGAGCCCAUACUACCCAGACUUGGGGUCAAUAAGCAGAGGACCUGUAAGGAGUCCUUGAUGGGAUGUACAGCACUGCCCAACCCUGCACAAGGUAGGGUAUUGCUGUUUGUUGUGUGGUGAGCUGCCUGCUUAUGGCUGGGUUUGGGCCUCCAUCCAUUUUUAUUUUCUUUGAGUUGGUCUCUGGGCAAAGCUUCUCCCAGCAGGCGGAAUCUGGCCUGGGGGCUCCAGCUUCUCUCACCUGCCUGGCCUCCCAAGAGCUAGAGAGCUCCACAUCUCAACUCAUCUAUAACUCAUUAGCAGAACCAUCAGCUAGCAGAAACUAGGAAUAAUAAAAAUGUGCCGUAUUUUCACAAGCUGGAUGCCAGGCUUGGUGGUCAGGACACAGACUGCUUUCAGCUCCCACAUGCCCCUCCUGCUAGCUGCUUUGUGCAGAGUAGUGGCUACAUGGCUGCAGGUGAGAGCCCUGCCUGUGAACAGGCCACCAGGAUGCUGGGACAUACGAGUUGGUAACCCAUGGGCUCCUGAGAGCAGAGAUUGUGACUUACUCAUCUUUGAUGUAGCCAAGUUCUAACAAACCUAAAUGUGCAGGCAUUUGUAAGAGAGGAUCAUGGAAUGAAUACGGGCAUUGAGUCAAGCAGUCUGUGUUCCACUGGCGGUGUGACCUGGGGCAGGCCAUUUCACCUCACUGAGCCUUAGUUUCCUCACCUGUAAAAUGUGAAAAAUAUCACCUUCCUUACCAGGCUUUUCUGAGGAUUUAAUGACAUCAUGUUCAGUGCCCAGUAUGGGUGGAUAAUACCCAGGAGUUUCCUCCUCUUCUCCUCCUAAGUUGACUUGAUGCCCCCCGCUGAAGAUCAUGGCUGAACUGGCUCAAUUCGGAUCCAGGACUCCUGGCUUUGUCUCUUCCCUAGUUGCCCACCACACCCAUGGACACCCUUAGGUAGUUUAUCCUUUUGGGACAACUGGAUUUAUUAGAAAAGGGUAUUCUGGGGUGGAAUAAGGCCCUUUUCAGUCCCCAUGGAGCCUUUUUGGAAGAUGAAGUUCUCAAACCCACAAGAGAAUUCAUAAGACGAGCACACCACCCACAGUUAGGUUUCCCUCUCAAGUGCUUUAUCUCCACGUGGGGCAAAUAGCUCUUUGUCUGCAUAUGUUAUUGGAGCUUUUGGAGUCCAGCCUUCAGAAGAGCUCUAAUUUUUGGAUUCAUAUCAGUUUAUUAGAGAAGCCUAGUUCUAAGGAUUAGCAAAUGGGUAGGUGCUCAGCCAGCCCAGAACAAGCAGAGCCAUGACAGAAGUUUCUGGAAUCUCACAGAGUCGGUGUCUUCAUGGACUCAGGGGGCCUAAAUCCAAUAGCCUGGAUUUGUCACUUUCCCUUAUUCCCUUAUCAAACUCUUCCCUUUUGGACAUCAGAGAAGGAAAGUACUUCCUGUAAGGGGGCAAUUUGCAAAGCUUCAUGGAAGUGGCAUUUGAGUGUGGCCUUAAAGGAUGUGUAGGAUUGGGAACCAUAGAUAUUUAGAGGAAGGCAUUCCUGGCAGAAGGAACAGCAGCAAAACACAGAAGUGGAAAUUAGUAGCAGCAUUAAUGGAGAAUAAUUUGGGGAAUAAGAUAUACAAAUGGAAUAAUAAAAAUAGCAUUAAUUAAACAUUGUGGGAGUCAUUCUGUAAGAUGGCCCCUGGUGA